rnacentral:rRNA from 1 species
AUGAGGCGAUCUGGCUCUGCAGAUAGGCUCGUGCCAUCGAUCAUGUGCCAAAGUUGGAGGUAUUGCCCGAUCUGGUGGAUGUCGACCGUGCCUUGGAUGUCCCGCGCCCAUCGGUUGGCCUCCAACCCUUCCGCAACUGUCCUGAUCUUGCGACGGCAUUUGGGGAUGCAUGCGUAUAAAAGCGAAGCGAUCUCACGGAUGUACUGUACGGCAAUCCAACGGUCCUCCCAGAAGAGGGCCUCCGUGCCAUCCCAAGCUGCAUGGUGGUGGAGGCGAAGAAGAAUGUGUGCUCCUCAGCGGGAAUUGUAG